GGAUGGUCUCGAUCUCCUGACCUCGUGAUCCGGCUGCCUCGGCCUCCCAGAAUGCUGGGAUUACAAGCGUGAGUCACCCACCGCGCCCGGCCCCAAGCCCUUGUCUUUUAAUGGGUCAAUUGCAUCAUCCUCACCUAUGAAUGACAGCACUGGAAAUGGUGACUCCAUGGGUAAAUACAUGGUUUUAUUUUUCCUUUUCUUUUCUUUUUUUUGAGAUGGUGUCUCUCUAUGUUGCCUAGCCUGGUCUCGAACUCCUGGGCUCAAGUGAUCCUCCUGCCUCAGCCUCCCAAAGUGCUAAGAUUACUGGUGUGAGCCACCAUGCCGGUCCAGCAAUCCAUGGUUCCAUAUAGGUGAAUAGGAAGACUUUCUUUCUUAUUAUUUAGAUAUCUUUGAAAGAUAAUCAGUAGUUUAAAGCAAAAUUAGCUCCAUACUAAAUAUUCAUACUAGCUAUUUUAAUUUUUAUAAUUAUACUAUUGAAGUGGAUACUCUUAUGCAGACUUUACAAAUGAACAAACUGAAGUUUAGAGAUUCUAAAUAUUCUAAAUAAAUAGGUCAUAUAGGCAUAUCAUUAUACUGUCUAUUGCUCAAUGCCCUUGACAGUGCACAGUUCCUUGGCUAAAAGUAUGUGGAAGCAGGGAAAAAUGAAUCCAGCAAUUACUAUAUUUAGCUGCUUUUACAAAUGCCUCUUGGUUAAAAAAAAAAAAAAAAAGACAUUCAUUGGUAGACAUUACCACAUUGCCAAGUCACUCAUAAAUCUAAGUACGAAAGUCAGUAAAAAAGGAUGAUGUUAUCUGAUUCACUGAAAGGGAAAUAAGCUGAGAUCUGCUGCGUUAGGACAAAGGCCAGCUGGGCUUUAUGAGAAUUCAGAUGGCAAGGAACAAGCUUUUUAUGGCAAUGACAGAGGGAGAAGGGAACAAUAUUAUAAGGAAGAAUCUUUGUGGUUCAAACAGAUUAUGUGGUUUAUUAUUUUCAUUUAGAUUAGGGAAAAAAUCAGUGGGCACAGAAUAAAUAGCAACUGCCUCUUUCCCCCUCCCCAGCAAGCAGAAUAUUGAUUUCCUCUUUGAGGAAAGGACACAUUAAAAAGAAUACUCUUGAGAUGAUAAAUAUGCUAAUUAAUGUGAUCUAAUCCCUAUACAUUAUGUAUAUGGAAACACCACUAUGUACCCCAUGAAUGUGUACAAUUAUUGUCAAUUUAAAAAUACAAUUUUAAAAACACUCAUUUUAUUUUUUUAAAUUAAUUGUUCUUAUUUUAAAAAUUAUUAUUUUUUAGGGAUGGGAUCUCACUGCAUUGCUCAGGCUGGUCUCAAACUCCUGGGCUCAAGCAAUCUUCCUGCCUUAGCUUCCCAAAGUUCUGGGAUUACAGGCAUGAGCCACCACUCCCAGCCAAAAAAAAAAAUACUCAUUUAAAGCUGCACAAGUUUGAUGGCACAAGUCUGUAUAACUGGACCUGUGCCUUUAUAAAACCUCAAACACUGCAAAGGUUCAUGAAACAAUGUAUAUCUAUUCUUCUUAUUCACUGUCAUCAAUGCUGACCAGGGAAAAUUGCACAGGUGCACGUGUGUGUGUGUGUGUGUAGGGCUAGUGAAGCAGGCAACUACCAGAGAUACAUUAUUAAAAAGCUAACAUUUAUUGGCCAGGCGCGGUGGCUUACGUCUGUAAUCCCAGCACUCUCACGGGUGGUGCCUCCCCGGCAAUGGGGGUCCCAAGAUCCAGGGGGGGAAAAGGGGAUGGCUCUCAGCCACCACAAAAUGGGGGGCCUUUAUGUUCAGGUUUUGCCCAAGAGUCAGCUUAUUUGCUUCUUGUACUAGCAGGGCAGUUGCUGCCAAGGCCUCAAACAGGGGAGCCAUCCUUCAGAAACCCUGUCUAGUUGUUCAGAGACGUAGGCCACCGGCCUCAGCCAGGGCCCCACAGUUUGGGUUAAAAGUCCAGCUGCCAUCUUUUCUCUCUCUAACGCAUACAAUGGAAAAGGCUUUGUCAGAUCGGGUAGCCCCAGGGCUGGGGCUGCCAGAAGUUUUUCCUUUAAGUCAUGAAAGACUUGCUGUUCUUGGAUCCCCAUUCCAAAGGUUCCGGUCCCCGCCCCCUUUGUGACCUCAUACAAAGGCUUGGCUAAUACUGCAAAGUUUGGGAUCCACAGUCUACAAAACCCCACAUCCCCUGAGAAUUCUCUCGCCUGCCUUAGGCACUUAGGCUCCGGGAGAUUGCAAAUAACCUGCUUUCUUUCUGUUCCCGGGCUGCGUUCGGACUCCUGUCAGAUAGUAAAUCCUAAGUGGCGUCGGACCCCUGUCAGAGAGUAAAUCUCAAGUAAGGUACCUGCCAUCGGCAGAUUUGAGCUUUCUUCUUGGACACCUAAUACCCACAGUCCUCCAGGCUCCGGUAGACUGCAAAUGACCUGCUUUCUUUCUGUUCCCGGGCUGCGUUUGGACCCCUGUCGGAUAGUAAAUCCCAAGUAAGGCUCCGGUAGACUGCAAAUGACCUGCUUUCUUUCUGUUCCCGGGCUGCGUUUGGACCCCUGUCGGACAGUAAAUCCCAAGUAAGGUACCUGCCCUCGGCAGAUUUGAGCUUUCUUCUUGGACACCUAAUACCCACAGUCCUCCAGGAAUGGAACAGAUAAGAAGAUACUGAAAUUGGACGGUGCUGCCGUGCGGCUGCCGCAGGACACCUUUAAUAUCCCUGUUUCUCAGGCUGUAGAUGAAGGGGUUCAGCAUGGAGGUGAUCACCGUGUACAUCACUGAGGCCACUGCAGCCUUUCUCGGGGAAGAUGACACAUCUGAACUGAGGUACCCUCCAAAGCCUGUUCCGUAAAAUCAGCAAACAACUGACAGGAUAACUUCAGGAAGUGGGUAUUAAUUCUCACGGUAUAAGUGAAGACAUUAAGCACCAGAGUUUAAGUAGCUUGAUCCACUGAAAGAGAUUCAACUGUGUGGAACCUAUGCCGUGGAGAAUUGCUUUCUGCCAUUGUUAUCGUCCAGCAGUUGCCGAAUAGCUCUGACCUGAGCAAAGCAGUGAAACGCGGUGCUGUUGAGUGGGUUGCCACUGCACCUUUUUCAACUACUCUAGUCUUGUGGAGAAAAUACCCCUUCUAAAUUUUUUCUUCAUUGAAUACUCUCCCUCAGCUCCAGAGUACCAUAUAGAGUUUUCUUGUAUUUUAGAGUUACUGUUUUAUCAAAGUUUACCAGUCUUUUGUAUUACAUUUCUCCUGUCUAAAUCGACUGUGUGGUUUCUACUCAUUAUGGAUAUAGAUUGAUACAAACUCAAUAAAUAUUUUUGAAUGAA
rnacentral:lncRNA from 1 species